GACGAACGCUGGCGGCGUGCCUAAUACAUGCAAGUAGAACGCACAGUUUAUACCGUAGCUUGCUACACCAUAAACUGUGAGUUGCGAACGGGUGAGUAACGCGUAGGUAACCUGCCUGGUAGCGGGGGAUAACUAUUGGAAACGAUAGCUAAUACCGCAUAAUAUUAAUUAUUGCAUGAUAAUUGAUUGAAAGAUGCAAUUGCAUCACUACCAGAUGGACCUGCGUUGUAUUAGCUAGUAGGUGAGGUAACGGCUCACCUAGGCGACGAUACAUAGCCGACCUGGGAGGGUGAUGGGCCAAAAGGGGACUGGGACAAGGCCCAGACGCCUACGGGAGGCAGCAGUAGGGAAUAUUCGGAAAUGGACGAAAGUCUGACCGAGCAACGGCGCGUGAGUGAAGAAGGUUUUCGGAUCGUAAAGCUCGGUUGUAAGAGAAGAACGGGUGUGAGAGGGGAAAGUUCACACUGUGAGGGUAUCUUACCAGAAAGGGACGGCUAACUACGUG
rnacentral:rRNA from 1 species